GCAACGGAUAUCUAGGCUCUCGCAUCGAUGAAGAACGUAGCGRAAUGCGAUACUUGGUGUGAAUUGCAGAAUCCCGUGAACCAUCGAGUUUUUGAA
rnacentral:rRNA from 1 species